GCUAGCUACAGGCUUAACACAUGCAAGUCGAGGGGCAGCAUUUCAGUUUGCUUGCAAACUGGAGAUGGCGACCGGCGCACGGGUGAGUAACACGUAUCCAACCUGUCGAUAACUCGGGGAUAGCCUUUCGAAAGAAAGAUUAAUACCCGAUGGUAUAAUCAGACCGCAUGGUCUUGUUAUUAAAGAAUUUCGGUUAUCGAUGGGGAUGCGUUCCAUUAGGCAGUUGGUGAGGUAACGGCUCACCAAACCUUCGAUGGAUAGGGGUUCUGAGAGGAAGGUCCCCCACAUUGGAACUGAGACACGGUCCAAACUCCUACGGGAGGCAGCAGUGAGGAAUAUUGGUCAAUGGGCGCAGGCCUGAACCAGCCAAGUAGCGUGAAGGAUGACUGCCCUAUGGGUUGUAAACUUCUUUUAUAUGGGAAUAAAGUUUUCCACGUGUGGAAUUUUGUAUGUACCAUAUGAAUAAGGAUCGGCUAACUCCGUGCCAGCAGCCGCGGUAAUACGGAGGAUCCGAGCGUUAUCCGGAUUUAUUGGGUUUAAAGGGAGCGUAGGUGGACAGUUAAGUCAGUUGUGAAAGUUUGCGGCUCAACCGUAAAAUUGCAGUUGAUACUGGCUGUCUUGAGUACAGUAGAGGUGGGCGGAAUUCGUGGUGUAGCGGUGAAAUGCUUAGAUAUCACGAAGAACUCCGAUUGCGAAGGCAGCUCACUGGACUGCAACUGACACUGAUGCUCGAAAGUGUGGGUAUCAAACAGGAUUAGAUACCCUGGUAGUCCACACAGUAAACGAUGAAUACUCGCUGUUUGCGAUAUACAGUAAGCGGCCAAGCGAAAGCAUUAAGUAUUCCACCUGGGGAGUACGCCGGCAACGGUGAAACUCAAAGGAAUUGACGGGGGCCCGCACAAGCGGAGGAACAUGUGGUUUAAUUCGAUGAUACGCGAGGAACCUUACCCGGGCUUAAAUUGCAUUUGAAUAUAUUGGAAACAGUAUAGCCGUAAGGCAAAUGUGAAGGUGCUGCAUGGUUGUCGUCAGCUCGUGCCGUGAGGUGUCGGCUUAAGUGCCAUAACGAGCGCAACCCUUAUCUUUAGUUACUAACAGGUCAUGCUGAGGACUCUAGAGAGACUGCCGUCGUAAGAUGUGAGGAAGGUGGGGAUGACGUCAAAUCAGCACGGCCCUUACGUCCGGGGCUACACACGUGUUACAAUGGGGGGUACAGAAGGCAGCUACCUGGUGACAGGAUGCUAAUCCCAAAAGCCUCUCUCAGUUCGGAUCGAAGUCUGCAACCCGACUUCGUGAAGCUGGAUUCGCUAGUAAUCGCGCAUCAGCCAUGGCGCGGUGAAUACGUUCCCGGGCCUUGUACACACCGCCCGUCAAGCCAUGAAAGCCGGGGGUACCUGAAGUACGUAACCGCAAGGAGCGUCCUAGGGUAAAACUGGUAAUU
rnacentral:rRNA from 1 species